CACAGUUUUAUGGUGUCAAUCACGAUAUAAUUGCGUGCGAAACUUUGUAGGCGCGUGAUUGACGCCAUAACGGUCAACGAUCUGUUCAAAUAAAUCUGCAAUUCUAUUUUAGAAGAUUAAUAAAAGAGUGUUCGUGAAGUGGUUUCAAACAAGUUUCGACUAAAAAUUUCUCAGGAAAAUAAGGAUGCAGCCUAAAUCGACAGAGAUCCCGAUUACUCGUCCGCCUAGCAGCAAGUUAAUUUGAGUCACAAUAUCUAUUUGGAAGCGCCGGUCACCGGUGACCACCGGGGCAAUCGACGCAACACGAAGAAGCCGACCGUCUUCGUGCGUCACAUUGGUGUCAGCAUUUCUAUUGCACGGAAUUAUCAUUUCAAUUGAUAAGCGAAUGGAAAAUAGCAAGGAAAAGAACAAGGCGAUAAUGAACAAGCAGACGUUAAUUGCGGCACAUACGCGCUUCGAACCGGUUAUUGUUCCGCUAGGUCAGCAUAAUCUGCGUUGGCGAGAGCACCGAAGUUAUUGGAAGACUAUCGUUAUCGGAUCGCGAAACUUCCAGCU